AUUUUAAGUUUUUGAUUAAAAUUGCAAUGUUGCAUUGCAGGGAAAGCCACGGCCGUUUGCUGAGCGGAAGUUUUAUAUAGCAUUUCCUUUGUUUCGUGGCACAUCAAUUUAUGCAGAUCUGACCAAGUAAUCUCAGCAUGGAAAAUCAUCAAAGAGAGGGGCAACAAUUUUUAACUUCUUCACAAUGAGCAAAUGGAAAACAUAGAGCUAGCAAAUGAAGUGGAAUCAAUGACCGGUGCUUUGCGACAAGAUCAAGCUUAUGACCAAAGUAUAUCACCUCCUAAAAGAGUGAGUCGAAAAGCACAAUGGCAGGCUUCAAUGAGUUCAAAAGAACGAGAUAAUUAUUUGACACGACGACGGGCCAAUUAUCAUUGUCAUCGCGAACAGACAUCAAAUUGUGAAGAUAAUAUCCAUGUUCGAAAGAGAAUGCAUUUAAGCCAUAUAUGGCAGAUGAGUGAUAGCGGAGCUAAUCAGAAUGCUACGAACGCUAC